GAUGAAGAACGUAGCGAAAUGCGAUACUUGGUGUGAAUUGCAGAAUCCCGUGAACCGUCGAGUCUUUGAACGCAAGUUGCGCCUCAAGCCAUUAGGUUGAGGGCACGUCUGCCUGGGCGUCACAUAUCGUUGCCUGAUGCCAGUUUCCUCGUGAUGGGUGACUGUGCAGGGCGAAUGAUGGCUUCCCGUGAGCAUUGUUGCCUCAUGGUUGGUUGAAAAUUGAGUCCUUGGUAGGGAGCGCCGUGAUAGAUGGUGGUUGAGUGACGAACGAGACCCAAUCAUGUGAGACCCCUACCGAAUUUGGCCUUCAUGACCCACAUGCGUCUUUGGAACGCUCAUGACGAGACCUCAGGUCAGGCGGGGCUACCCGCUGAGUUUAAGCAUAUCAAUAAGCGGAGGA
rnacentral:misc_RNA from 1 species